rnacentral:rRNA from 1 species
UAUUGGUCAAUGGUCGGGAGACUGAACCAGCCAAGCCGCGUGAGGGAGGAAGGUACAGAGUAUCGUAAACCUCUUUUGUCAGGGAACAAAGGCGGGGACGUGUCCCCGGAUGAGUGUACCUGAAGAAAAAGCAUCGGCUAACUCCGUGCCAGCAGCCGCGGUAAUACAGAAGAUGCGAGCGUUAUCCGGAUUUAUUGGGUUUAAAGGGUGCCCAGGGGGGCUGUUAAGUCAGCGGUCAAACCCCGGGGCUCAACCCCGGCCCGCCGUUGAAACUGGCAGUCUCGAGUUGGAGAGAAGUAUGCGGAAUGCGCGGCGUAGCGGUGAAAUGCAUAGAUAUCGCGCAGAACUCCGAUUGCGAAGGCAGCAUGCCGGCUCCACACUGACGCUGAGGCACGAAAGCGUGGGGAGCGAACAGG